rnacentral:rRNA from 1 species
CACACGACUCUCGGCAACGGAUAUCUCGGCUCUCGCAUCGAUGAAGAACGUAGAGAAAUGCGAUACCUGGUGUGAAUUGUAGAAUCCCGCGAACCAUCGAGUCUUUGAACGCAAGUUGCGCCCGAGGCCACUCGGCCGAGGGCACGCCUGCCUGGGCGUCACGC